rnacentral:rRNA from 1 species
UCAGGACGAACGCUGGCGGCGUGCCUAAUACAUGCAAGUCGAGCGGAUCUUUGGGAGCUUGCUCCCAAAGGUUAGCGGCGGACGGGUGAGUAACACGUGGGCAACCUGCCUAUGAGACCGGGAUAACUCCGGGAAACCGGGGCUAAUACCGGAUAAUUCUUUUCUACACAUGUAGAAAAGCUGAAAGAUGGUUUCGGCUAUCACUCAUAGAUGGGCCCGCGGCGCAUUAGCUAGUUGGUGAGGUAACGGCUCACCAAGGCGACGAUGCGUAGCCGACCUGGGAGGGUGAUCGGCCACACUGGGACUGAGACACGGCCCAGACUCCUACGGGAGGCAGCAGUAGGGAAUCUUCCGCAAUGGACGAAAGUCUGACGGAGCAACGCCGCGUGAGUGAUGAAGGUUUUCGGAUCGUAAAACUCUGUUGUUAAGGAA